AACGAACGCUGGCGGCAGGCCUAAAACAUGCAAGUCGAACGCCCUAGCAAUAGGGAGUGGCGCACGGGUGAGUAACGCGUGGGAACGUGCCCUUCAGUACGGAACAACGUCGGGAAACUGACGUUAAUACCGUAUAAUAUCUCCGGAUCAAAGAUUUAUCGCUGAAGGAUCGGCCCGCGUCUGAUUAGCUAGUUGGUGAGGUAAUGGCUCACCAAGGCUACGAUCAGUAGCUGGUCUGAGAGGAUGAUCAGCCACACUGGGACUGAGACACGGCCCAGACUCCUACGGGAGGCAGCAGUUAGGAAUAUUGGACAAUGGGCGAAAGCCUGAUCCAGCCAUGCCGCGUGUGUGAUGAAGGCCUUAGGGUUGUAAAGCACUUUCGUUGGGGAUGAUAAUGACCGUACCCAAAGAAGAAGCCACGGCUAAAUUCGUGCCAGCCGCCGCCGUAA
rnacentral:rRNA from 1 species